UUCAAUGUGAAAAUGAAGAUGGAACAAAAGUGAGACAAGUUAGACCAAAGAGACUUACAAUGUCUGUAAUGCUGAGGCUCUUGAAAGGUAUACCAUACCUAUCAUUCAACACUUUUCAUUAGAUAUUUUCCUUUCUAAUCUGAUUUGACUGUGUAGUCCGUGUGAUUGAUAGUGAUUACAUUAUUCUUCUGUUAUAUUUCUUAUUAUAAUGAGAUGAGGUUCUUGAUGGUGC
rnacentral:lncRNA from 1 species